rnacentral:misc_RNA from 1 species
CACCCACCUGCACCGCAUCCGCAUCCCCCGAAAAAAGUCCAAGGCAUAGCAGCGUCCUCUACCUCGCCCUCGCCUCGGGGGGUUCACCGCUCUCACGCACGCCCGUCCCCUUGUCUGACAGUCUCCCGUUUCCGUCCGCCGGUUCCGGCCCCCAUCUAGCCCUGCCCGUCUCCCUCCUCGUCGUCCUCGCGCCUCUCAUUAUAAGCCCACCUGCCGCCGCCGUGCUCUUCCCUCCGGUCAUCCCUUUUCUCUCUCUCUCUCGGGUCGCCCCCUGCUGUCCGGUGCCGGUGCGCGAGGCUGCUGCUGCUGCUGUUCCGGUCCCAAGUGGGCGGCGCGUGUGCAAGGCUCCGUGAUCCCGAGCCCGAGGUGAGCAAGCAUUUCUCCCUUGCCUUUUGUUCGCUUCUGCAUGCACCUCCGCUCUGAGCCAUGGCAUACGGAUGGCGACGGCGAUGACGCUGUGCUCCUCCCGUCUCCCCGUCUGUCUCUGCCAGGAGCAAGCAAAGCGGACCACCGUUGCAUUGGCUUUAGCUGUACCGUAAAAUAGGACGGAGAGCAGUAAUAAAAAGCGCCGUCCGCGUCCGGUCCGGCCCUGCGCCCCUGCCUCUGCCUGCCUCUGCUCUGCCCGUGCGUGACGAAAGAGUGAAGAAAUAAAUGGCGCCUCUGCUCCAACGCACCAGUACCGAACCAGUGAUUUCCCCUUGUCCUCUUCUCCGUCCGGCCAUACCCCCGGCUUGUAUUUUUGCUCCUCGAGCUGUUGCUGCUUGUUGCCACCUCCUUGGCCGUUUCGUCGUG